rnacentral:rRNA from 1 species
CCUACGGGUGGCAGCAGUGAGGAAUAUUGCGCAAUGGGCGAAAGCCUGACGCAGCGACGCCGCGUGAGGGAUGAAGGUCUUCGGAGCGUAAACCUCUGUCAGCAGGGAAGAACGGUCACUGUGCUAAUCAGCAGUGAAUUGACUGUACCUGCAAAGGAAGCACCGGCUAACUCCGUGCCAGCAGCCGCGGUAAUACGGAGGGUGCGAGCGUUAAUCGGAAUUACUGGGCGUAAAGCGCUCGUAGGCGGUAUGUCAAGUCAAGGGUGAAAUCCCCGAGCUCAACGUGGGAACUGCCUUUGAAACGGGCAAACUGGAGUGUGUGAGAGGAUGGUGGAAUUCCUGGUGUAGGAGUGAAAUGCGUAGAUAUCUGGAGGAACAUCAGUGGCGAAGGCGACUAUCUGGCACAUAACUGACGCUGAGGAGCGAAAGCGUGGGUAGCAAACAGGAUUAGAUACCCGAGUAGUC